CAACGACUCUCGGCAACGGAUAUCUCGGCUCUCGCAUCGAUGAAGAACGUAGCGAAAUGCGAUACUUGGUGUGAAUUGCAGAAUCCCGUGAACCAUCGAGUCUUUGAACGCAAGUUGCGCCCAAAGCCGUCAGGCCGAGGGCACGUCUGCCUGGGCGUCACGC
rnacentral:rRNA from 1 species